GACGAACGCUGGCGGCGUGCUUAACACAUGCAAGUCGAACGGAAAGGCCCUGCUUUUGUGGGGUUCUCGAGUGGCGAACGGGUGAGUAACACGUGAGUAACCUGCCCUUGACUUUGGGAUAACUUCAGGAAACUGGGGCUAAUACCGGAUAGGAGCUCCUGCUGCAUGGUGGGGGUUGGAAAGUUUCGGCGGUUGGGGAUGGACUCGCGGCUUAUCCGCUUGUUGGUGGGGUAGUGGCUUACCAAGGCUUUGACGGGUAGCCGGCCUGAGAGGGUGACCGGCCACAUUGGGACUGAGAUACGGCCCAGACGCCUACGGGAGGCAGCAGUGGGGAGUAUUGCACAAUGGGCGGAAGCCUGAUGCAGCAACGCCGCGUGCGGGAUGACGGCCUUCGGGUUGUAAACCGCUUUCGCCUGUGACGAAGCGUGAGUGACGGUAAUGGGUAAAGAAGCACCGGCUAACUACGUG
rnacentral:rRNA from 1 species